AUUGCAGGCUGCAACUCGCCUGCAUGAAGGAGGAAUCGCUAGUAAUCGCCGGUCAGCAUACGGCGGUGAAUUCGUUCCCGGGCCUUGUACACACCGCCCGUCACACCAUGGAGGCUGGUCACGCCCGAAGUCAUUACCUCAACCGCAAGGAGGGGGAUGCCUAAGGCAGGGCUAGUGACUGGGGUGAAGUCGUAACAAGGUAGCCGUACCGGAAGGUGUGGCUGGAUCACCUCCUUAAAGGGAGACCUAAUUCCGGUGGGAGACGAAAAAAAGUAGUCCCAACCAAGAAUCAAUCCCAAAAGGUCGGAGCGAGGCGAAAUUGGCUUUCAAACUAGGUUCUGGGUUCACACAAGACCUGAAUCAGGAACAAGGGCUAUUAGCUCAGGUGGUUAGAGCGCACCCCUGAUAAGGGUGAGGUCCCUGGUUCGAGUCCAGGAUGGCCCACCUGCACAGGUGGCAAAAACAAAGAAAAAAAGCUCCGAAUCAGCACCUUAUCUUACUUAUACAGUAAGAGAGAAUGCUGGCUCUGAGUUCAGAGUCCAGAGGAACCUUGAAAACUGCAUAGAGCUAGGUGAAAAAGCCAAAAAAGAAGACCGCAAGGUCAAGCUAAUAAGGGCUAACGGUGGAUACCUAGGCACACAGAGG
rnacentral:sRNA from 1 species